rnacentral:rRNA from 1 species
AGCAGCCGCGGUAACACCGGCGGCCCGAGUGGUGAUCGUGAUUAUUGGGUCUAAAGGGUCCGUAGCCGGUUUGGUCAGUCCUCCGGGAAAUCUGAUAGCUCAACUAUUAGGCUUUCGGGGGAUACUGCCAGACUUGGAACCGGGAGAGGUAAGAGGUACUACAGGGGUAGGAGUGAAAUCUUGUAAUCCCUGUGGGACCACCUGUGGCGAAGGCGUCUUACCAGAACGGGUUCGACGGUGAGGGACGAAAGCUGGGGGCACGAACCGGAUUAGAUACCCGGGUAGUCCCAGCCGUAAACGAUGCUCGCUAGGUGUCAGGCAUGGCGCGACCGUGUCUGGUGCCGCAGGGAAGCCGUGAAGCGAGCCACCUGGGAAGUACGGCCGCAAGGCUGAAACUUAAAGGAAUUGGCGGGGGAGCACAACAACGGGUGGAGCCCUGCGGUUUAAUUGGACUCAACGCCGGACAACUCACCGGGGGCGACAGCAAUAUGUAGGCCAAGCUGAAGACUUUGCCUGAAUCGCUGAGGAGUGGUGCAUGG